UUAGUCAAUAGACUGAGGGAAACCAACAGGGAUUGCCCCAGUAGCGGCGAGUGAAGCGGCAAGAGCUCAGAUUUGAAUCGUGUUUCGGCACGAGUUGUAGAGUGUAGGCGGGAGUCUCUGUGGAGCGCGGUGUCCAAGUCCCUUGGAACAGGGUGCCUGAGAGGGUGAGAGCCCCGUAGGGUGCUGCGCGAAGCUUUUGAGGCCCUGCUGACGAGUCGAGUUGUUUGGGAAUGCAGCUCCAAGCGGGUGGUAAAUUCCAUCUAAGGCUAAAUAUUGGCGAGAGACCGAUAGCGAACAAGUACUGUGAAGGAAAGAUGAAAAGCACUUUGAAAAGAGAGUGAAACAGCACGUGAAAUUGUUGAAAGGGAAGGGUAUUGGGCUCGACAUGGGGGGUGCGCACCGCUGUCUCUUGUAGGCGGCGCUCUGGGCGCCCUCUGGGCCAGCAUCGGUUCCUGCUGCGGGAGAAGGGGCUCCGGAAAGUGGCUCUUCGGAGUGUUAUAGCCGGGGCCAGAUGCCGCGUGUGGGGACCGAGGACUGCGGCUUCUGUCUCGGAUGCUGGCAUAACGGCGCAAUACCGCCCGUCUGAACACGAAACCAGCAAAAAA
rnacentral:rRNA from 1 species